rnacentral:rRNA from 1 species
AGAGAGAAGCGAAUUCGCAAGGAAGAGCGGAUCUCAAAAAAGUAGGUCCCAGUUCGGAUUGUGGGCCGCAACCCGCCCACAUGGAGUCGGAGUUGCUAGUAAUCGCGGAUCAGCAUGCCGCGGUGAAUACGUUCCCGGGCCUUGUACACACCGCCCGUCACACCAUGGGAGUUGGGAGUGCCCAAAGCCGGUGAGGCAACCUUCGGGAGCCAGCCGUCUAAGGCAAGACCAAUGACUGGGGUGAAGUCGUAACAAGGUACC